AAAAUACCUGAAUAUUUUCCAAAUGCAUAGUUAUUUUUGUAAAUUAACUUUCUCUUGUCCUAGGAAUUACCUGAAUUUGCGUUAAGUUACCCGAAUUUCUUAUGCAAAUCUACUUGAAUUUACCUGAAAAUCUACCUAAAAUCUACCUGAAAUUGCUCAUGAGCAAUUAUCAGGGGGGUGUUACACCCCCAACCUCCCCCCCCCCCC